GUGCUAAGGUAGCAGAAUAGUUUGUUCUUUAAUUGGGAGUUGGUAUGAAAGGUUACACAAAAAAUAUCUUUUAAAUUGAAAUAAAGUAAUUUAAAUUUCAAGUUAAAAUGCUUGAAUUUAGUAAAGGGACGAUAAGACCCUAAAAGCUUAAAUUAACUAUAAAUUUAUUAAAGUUUAUUGUAAGUAAUAAUUUAACUAUAAUAUUAGCUGGGGAAGUGGUUUUGAUAAAAUCAAAAUUUAAUGAAACUUAAUUUAAGGAUAAAGAUCUUUUUAUAAAGAUAAAUUGAGGUAGUUACUUUAGGGAUAACAGCGCAAUGGUCUUGGAGAGUUCUUAUUUAUAGGAUUAUGUGCGACCUCGAUGUUGAAUUAAAAUUAUCUUAAGGGAGUAGAAGAUCUAUAAGAGGGUUUGUUCAACCUUUAAAUUUUUACAUGAUCUGAGUUUC
rnacentral:rRNA from 1 species